UUCGGUCGCUCGGUCGCAGUCGCACCGCCGUCAACGACAACAACAUCCGCGCGAGGAUCACGCCCGUCCCUCCUUCCUCCGAUCCGAUCUCACCAGAGCGAGGUAACCCUCGAUCUCUCCCCCUAGAUCCCCGGCCUUAAACGAAUCGCUCGGAUCAGACGAAUCCCUAGAUCCAAAUCUUAAACGAAUCGAGGUGAUUAAUCGAUCGUUCGUGUGAUAUUCCUCCUGUUCAGAUCAGAUCUGGUUCAAUUCCGUACAGAAUUCGUUCAGAUCAGAUCUGGUUCAAUUCCGUACAGAAUUCCUGGAUCGAAUCCUGUGAUUAUUGGGAAUUUGUGAUGCAUGCAGAUGGGUGGACGCGGAGGUCGCGGAGGUCCCGGGGGCCGGGGCGGCGGCCGGGCGGCAGGGGCAACGCCGCUGGCCAGGGAGGGCCAGUGGCAGCUCCCGUCAUCUACUGGUUCUGCGAGCACUGCGGGGAUCUGCGCCAUGACAAUCAAGCACGUCACCUCGUGAACCACAUCUACAUGGAACACCAGGAAACCCAGCAGCGCCUCCGCCAGCUGCAGGCGCGUGAGGCGUAUCAGCGAGCCCAUGGUGGCUCGAAGAAGAGGGGCAACCGCCGCCGCCACUGAAUGAAGGUACAGUGCGGCUAAGAAAGCAUAGAAGUUUUAUUGUGGACUGCUAGAUUAGAACAUGGAGACAAUCCUUUUAUGAUUGACAUAAAGCACUUCGACAGCCUAUGAUCAAUGCCACGAUGACAACUGCCUGCUGUAUGUAUAUGAUUACAGGAUUCAGAAAGUUCAACUAGUCUAAAAUCCAUGGUGUUUCCUGUCAUCAAACAAUAAAAAUUUAUUCUAACAUAACAUGAUUCUCACUUUGUUGAACACUAUUACAGUGGCUUAAGAAAGUUUUGGUUGUUUCCUCUGUUCCGGUUAAUCAGCUGAGAGGCUGCUUAACUAAAAUCAAUGGUGUUCUGAACCUAUAGCAGAGUCCCUUUUUCUUCUGAACUCUGCCCCACACUACUCAUUUUUUCUUUCGUAACUUCUCUGCUGCAUGCAUUUCCUGUAACAUACUAUGCGAGACUUGAGGACUUGACUAUGAUGAGUAUGGUUUAGACUUGAAUGACUGCUAUGAACCUAUAGACUACUGAUGGAACCUGCUUAUGAAUGCUGGUUCUAUCAAAGCACUUUUUCUAUGGCUUGUGUUGAAAUUACGCAAUGAUGGACAAUACUGAAGUAUGCAGCAUAAUGAUUAGGGCCUGGGUUAUCUAAAAAAACCAUGAUUCUUAAUUUGUUAAACAUUGUAUUUACACGAAAUACAAAGGCUUCAGAAAGUUCAUUUGUCAUUUUGGGUCUUUUCUUGUAUCUGCCAUGUCCGUUGGUUGUUUCCUAGGUUACAGUUAGUCAGCACAAAGGUAGAUGGACUAAAAUCCACGUUGUUCCCUGCCAAACAAUAGAGUUUAUGUUAGUUGCAUGCUAUUUUAUAGUACAUACAAAAAUAAACCAACAUAACAUGCUGACAUUACUUUUCUUGUGAUCACAGGUAGAAGACUAAGUAACACUACUGAAGUCACCUGCGCAAAUCUUCCAGCAUUAUCAAUCUUAUUUCCGCAUUUUCUUUCUGCAAAUAAAUAGCUAUAUCAGACUCCCCUGCGGCAAGCUCUUGCAAGACCAAUGUUAUUUCUGUAAUUUUUCUUCUGUGCACAAAUAGUGAGACAAUAUGAGUUUAUAUCAGUGAGACUGAAUUACGAUGAGCGAGAUAAAGCAAAGUUGUUUGCUGCGAUUUGUGUUUGACUGCCUGUUUUGAACCUAUAGUAUGAUGAUGGAACCUGGUUAUGCUGAUUCUGUGUCGAGAUCAGGAAAGUGUUUUUCUAUGGCUUGUGUUUGAUUUAUGUUGAAUGACAGCAGCCUGUGAGAAAGGAUAAGAUGCCAACUGCAUGCUUUAAGUCACUAGGGGCUGGGUAAAUCUAGAAUAAUCCUGAUUGUCAGCUUGAUGCUAUCUAAAACAGCUAUGAUCCUUAGCUUGACAGAGGCUUCAGAAAGUUUACCUGCGUUUU
rnacentral:lncRNA from 1 species